GACGGACGGACGGACGGACGGACGGACGGACGGACGGACGGGGCUGCACGGCGGGGAUGGCUGCAGCGGGACCCUCGGAACGGCGGGCCGGGCUCUCCGGGCAGAAGGCAAGAGGCAGCGGAAGCUCGGCAGCUGCGGCAGGAGCUGCGGGGGUCCCGGUGGGCACUGUCCGUGGAAACCCCCAGCUAAGCUCGCAGCCAGCCGCAGCCCUCCCGUGGCGGCUCCUUUCGUCUCUCUGAACUGUGGAUCGUUGUGGUUUCGACCUUAGCGACGGAUGGAACAAAAUUCCGUGAGAGAAAGAAACGAAAGGAAAAGUCCCAAACCCGACGCCAGGACAGCUGUGAAGAGCAAAGACCCAGGAAGGAAAUCAGGAGCACAAGACAUGCUACUGAUGUUAAGGGUUUAGUUUAGACCAGAAAUGAACUUUCUGAGUGGAAUCCCCUGAUCUCACCUGCUUAAACGUUGUUGUGGCUCGCAUAAGCGGGCAGUGCCACAGCGUAUGAACUGAGAAGUGUGAGGCAGCAGUACAUCAAAUACACUGUGUAGGUGUUUCAGGGCAUUUGGGCCGUGGCAGCAAAUUAAGCCAGGAUUAAAUAAUCCACCAGAACUGUGGGUGGUGGGUCCUCAGCACUGCUUCACCCCAAAAAUGGGGCCACUGAUCCACUACACUACUUGUGAACACAGCCAUUCUUAACUUCCCUGUUACAGAAAAAAGCUUUCAGCAGAUGGGACCACAAAAACCCCCAACGUUCCCUGUGUUAGGUACAGCAUUAUUUGGCAUUUUUUCAUUUCUGGUGCACUGCUGUAGAGCCCAAGAUAGAGAGAAUGUAAAAUAAAUUCUGGGCUUCGAACAAGUAAAAACAACAUUAAAGUGGACUUUGUUAUGAGUUCUUUAUUUCGGACAAAACUUGUGUUUAUCCUCUGCUCUUGCUAACUAGCUUCACAGAUGUCACCUAGUGAACAUCUCAGUUCUCAGGGAUUAUGAAAUACAGGGAUUAAUGCAAUGCAUAUUUCUUUCUUGAAAGAUUUCUGAGGAUCCAGCUUUUUCAAUGGAAGAUUCUGUUAGCUGAAGGACUAGAAAUCAGAAAACGCCUAAUUUGGAGAGCCAGUUCCAAUCUGGUUUUCAGGUACUUGGUAAGAUGAAUCAGAUUUGAUUUAAUGCAGUGAGAAACUUGCUUGGUGUAUUAGACCUACCUUGGGGCUGAGGAUUUUCUGUGCUGGCAGAAUGAGACUGGCUUUCCAUAAAUUAGCAUGUUACUUCCCACCUUUCCUGCCAAUGGCAUUCCAGUUCUCUAGGGCCAGCCAGCGGGGACUUGUGAAAGGCAGCAGGGUCUGCUGAAAGUACACUCAGACCCCUAGAAUUUAUAAAUUACUUGGGGCUUCCAAAACAGCAUUAAACUGCCAUCAGUUCUAGGCAAACGUAAUGGAUAUACUGGAAACUAAAGCUAUAGUAUGUACAUGCUCAGAACUCCACAGAAAAUACUAAAAGGUGUUUUUUCAUAAUAAGGAAAAAUGAGAUGUGAUACCUGACUUUGCAUUUCAGUACCUGGAUUGCCUCUUGCUGAGGCUUUUCCCUUCUGCUUAGAAGUGAUGUUUAUUAAGUCAUGGCAAUGGAAGUCCUGCUUCAGCUACGGUAUGCUUAAGGAGCAGAAUGUCUUACCUGAGCAGGUGUUGCUAUGUAUUGAAUGGCUCUGUAACUCAACUAAACAACCAAGACUAUUGCUAAUUGCAACAUUAAAGGCAUCUCGUGUGGAACAGUGACUGUCAGAAAAAUAGGGGACUUUUUUGUGGGUGAUCUUGCCACUUAAAGGCAAUGAUCCAUGUGUCCCUUCUUUUUCAGUCUCAAGUAAGAGAAAGAGUUUGUGAUAGAUAUGCAUGUGGAACCCUUAGUUUGGAAACUGACACUUCAGAGAUAAGGUUUUCCUUAUCUCUGAAGGUAACUUCAGUCUGCUGACCCAUUCCAUCAGGGCAGGUUUCAGUUAUAUUGGUUUACCACUUCAAGAUGCAGAUUAGAAGGUGGUGGUCUGGGUUUUCCUCAGGUUACAGCAGGACUUGGGGUGUGGUGGGCUGUCUCUCCUCCACAGGGAAAAGUGCUUUUGGAUUACAUUGCCUUUUGUUGAUUUAAACAGAAACGAAUGGAAAACUCUUUGGAGGGGUUUUAGUUUGUUGAAACACAGAAAAAAUGCUUUUUACCUCUGGCCCACAGAAGAUACUGGCCCUGUUUCUACUGCAGUUACUGUCCUAAGUGCUCUUUGAAAGAGGAACCGUUCAGCUACCAUCAGUGCAGGAAAUUGCAGGGUCAGACUUUGGUUUCUGGAAAAAUUCCUGUAUGUCUCUGUAAAACUAACCACACCUGAGGGACAACAAUCCAAAAAUAUUUUUAAUAAUGCUCAUAGGAGUUCUGUAUCCAGAGUCGUGGAUCCUUAGUAAAGAACCUCUGCAUCCCAGGAAAAAUCCCAACCUUCCCCCUGCUCUGUAUGUGCUGUGCUGUGUGUCCACUGCAAGGAUUUGGGUGGGCAAAUCCUGGGAUGGGGCAAAAUCCCAGCCACUUCUGUUUGUAAUUACCUGCGAGUGUCUGACUGACCCUGCAGCCCCAGUCCCUGUCAUCAGAGUGUGAAAUCCUCCCUCAGGAAAAGCAGUAAGGUGGAAACGUCUCCCUGCAGUGAGGAGAUGGGGUUUAUCAUGGGCAAGGGCUCUGAUUUAUGCUGGAGGAGCUCUCUGCAGUUAGACUGUUUGGAAACAAGGCUAGAGCAACGUGAAUGUCUGCUACCAUCCACUGGAACAAAAUCCUGCUACCACAAGGAUCUCUGGUAUAACAGUGUGGUGAGGGAAGCAUGGAAGCCUGAGCCAAUUCCAACUCCAAAUAUGUGCUUCAUGUGUCUCUCCAUUACCAUUCCCCUCACACUGCCAAUUCCACCACUAAAUGACCUAGUUCCAUGUCUAUGUGUCUUUUAAAUAUCCCAUAAUAUGUAUGAAAAAAGCUUAUCCAAUGAACUCUAAUUCCAGUAAUAUUCACAGUAAUAUUCCCAUGAAGAUCUAGUGAAUUGAAUAAAACCUAGUUGUCCUUUAAAGAAAAAAGAAGCCAAGAAUUAUUCUCAAAGCUUACAUUCAAAAGGGUAAAAAUAAAACCCAUAUGUCAUAGUCCUAAAAUUAUAUUUCUGGGGUUUUUUAAUGUACCCUUGUUUCCUGUAUAUAAAAGGAAAUUAUUUCCUUUGGAAAUGAGAUCUUAGCACUCUAUUCUUCUGAAUGUAACACCUUUCCAGCAGUCUGCUCAUGUCAAUCUUCUGUGGACUUCAGCAGUUUGGGGUUUGGUCCAUAUCAAGCAGUUUGUAAAAACAGAGCCAUUCAAAUCAUAAUAAUUAUAAUUCUGUUUCAUUGUA